rnacentral:lncRNA from 1 species
CACCAUGUGAUUUGCAAGUAACUCACUAUACUUUGGUGCCAGACUAACAAAGUUUCUAAUUCAAUGACAAAAGAUUUUUGGGUGCAGUCAAGUACUUGUCAAGUUAGUGGUGAGUCAAAAUGUGAUUGACCCCUCCGAAUUAGUGGGAGAUAUGCAUCAGUGUAUUUCAAUUUAGCAAAAUUUGAGCCCGAAUAAUCCAUGUGAUGGAUUUGAAAAAGAUUGUAAUACAAUAUGGAUGACUUAUCUAUAAUUGACAGUUAAAUCUUGGGUCAUCCUCGAGUAUUAGGGUCAAAGG